ensembl:snRNA U1 U1 spliceosomal RNA
AUACUUACCUGGAAGGGGAGAUAACAUGAUCAUGAAGGUGGUUUUCCCAGGGUGAGGCUUAUCCAUUACACUCCAGAUAAGCUGACCCCUGCGAUUUCCCCAAAUGUGGGAAACUCAACUGCAUAAUUUGUGGUAGUGCGGGAUUGCAUUCGCACUGACCCCUG